rnacentral:lncRNA from 1 species
UGAAUAUGAAAAGCUGUUGUUGCUUGGUAAGCAGAACAGCUGACCUGACUCGAUCGAUCGUGUUGAAGCCAUUGCUGCGGCUCUUAAGGGGUGUUGAAAUGGUUUUUGUCACUUACGCUACUUUACCGCUAGGCGCAUCUCUCAUUGCGCUUGCAGAAGCUAACGCGUGCAAAGUGCGUGGAUCCUAACCGCUUUCUCGACUCCCUUAUCCCAGCACCCGCGGCUACCGCUACUCCCAAAGCUUGACUGUUACAUAAGGGUAGGCUUUCGUUAUUUAUUCUGGUGACAUGCUUGAUACUGCCUUGUUCAACCUGGGCGGCUGUGGCCGUAAUUGCUUGAUUUGGCUUGCCCACCUAAAAGGUGGGCAUGUUGGAUGAAAUGGACGAGCAUGCCCGGACUGAGACACAAUUACUAGUAAAGAGUACUCUUUGCGCAAUCCGGCUGGAUAGAGGGUAGGACACACUGUCGGGCAGAGCAAUUCUUUUGGCUGCCCCGGUCGCACAAUUCCUGUGCUUCCCUAAUUCGACACCCUGAACAUGCUAAUUCUGACUGUCCGAAUGUCCCUGCCAGACCAAUUCGACACCCUGUCAGCCUAAUUCUGACUGUCGGAAUGUACCGCCAGGCUAAUUCGUAUCCCUGUCAGGCUAAUUCUGACUGUCG